rnacentral:lncRNA from 1 species
GGGGGUGGGGGUGCGGUCAGCCCAAGGUCACUUGACCCAGUCAGUGUCCGGCCAACUCUGCAGCUCGGUCCAGCCCUGCCCUUGGGGAGCCGGGGAGGGGCGGGAGAGGCUUUUCUGGAGCUCCUUCAAAGAAGAACUUGUACUUUUCUGAGAACGACGCUCCCAGACCUUGGGGUGUGCCCUUGUCUGGCAAAGGGCGGAGGCCCUGGCUGUGCCUCCGCGUGCUUCCGCCGCAGGAUGCCGGCGUCCGCCCGCCUGGCGGGAGCGGGGCUGCUGCUGGCCUUUCUCCGCGCGCUCGGCUGCGCUGGGCGGGCCCCAGGUAUGGCUGCACGCGCGCGCUCCUUGCUUGUCCUCGCCAAGGCUUUGGAACUUGCUGCCAACGUUUUUGCUACGCAGUAUCUUUCCGUGGUAGUUUUUGUGGCCAAUCUAAUUAUUUUGAUAUUAUAAUGUUUUACUCACGUGGUAAUUCUAGCCGUCUCUACUUAGGGCCCAGGAAUGACUCAGCCAAAUGUAAUGAUGAUAAAGUUAACUACCAGAUCGAAAAUAAUCAGUAUAACCUGGCUUCAACAGUAAAUGAUACUCUAUCUUGUUGACAUCAAAAGAAAGUUCAUUUUUCUUCUUCGCUUCAGUUCAUCUGUGUAAGCCGUUUGGAACAGGCAGUUCGCUUUUUCCCUGUAACUACUCAAUUCAUGCACAUGGAAAAUAAUGUAGACAGCAGUCAUCAGUGUUAAUACUUCAACAUGUCAUAUUACAGCUGUUACCCGUUACAAGGAAAUUCCUUGGUGGACCCUCCAGAUCAGUCUUUUUUUUUUUUUUAAUUCCUCGUUUUCAUCCCUAGUUGACUCUACCGCCUCUCCGUAUAUGCAGCUCCAGACGUUUCCCACUCCACUCAGGGUCCCGAUUAUCAACUCCCACAGCUUCCCUCAGCAGAAUUUACCGGCUUUCUUUUUCUCUUUCUCUCUCUCUCUGUCUCUCUCUCUUCUUCCUCCUCUCCCUCUCUCCUCUGUUUCUGUCUCUGUCUGUCUCCCUCUCUCCUCUCUCUCUCUCCUUCCCUCUCCUCUAUGAGAAAGAAGGGCGACUUUCCAUUGAGUUCCAUUGAGUUCUCUUGAAUUAGUCCUUUUCAGUACCCUCCGGGAAUUGACUCCAUCACUUUACCCCUGCAUUUUUGUUUUGUUUUGUUUUCUGUUUUGUUGGUUUUUGGGGUUUUUUAAAGUUGUUUGUUUUUUGUUUUUUGAGACGGAAUCUCGCCCUGUUUUGUUGCCCAGGCUGAAGUGCAGUGGCGCACUCUUAGCUCACUGCCACCUCUGCCUCCUGGGUUCAAGUGAUUCUCCUGCCUCAGCCUCCCGAGUAGCUGAGAUUACAGGCGUCUGCCACUACACCUGGCUAAUUUUUUGUAUUUUUAGUAGAGACAGAGUUUCACCAUGUUGGCCAGGCUGGUCUUGAACUCCUGACCCCAGGUGAUCCGCCUGUCUCAGCCUCCCAAAGUGCUGGGAUUACAAGCAUGAGCCACCGGGCCUGGCCUUUGUUUUUGAGACAGGGCCUCACUCUGUUGCCCAGGCUGAAGUGCAGUGGCACAAUCACUGCUCACUGGAGCCUCAACUUCCACAGCUCAAGUGAUCCUCCCACCUCAGCCUCCCGAGUAGCUGGGACUACAGGUGUGUGCCCCCCACACCCAGCUUACUUCUUUUUUUUUUUUCUGUAGAGACAGGGUCUCCCUUUGUUACCCAGGCUGGUCUCAAACCCCUGGAGUCAAAAGAGAUCCUCCCGCCUCAGUCUCACAAAGUACUGAGAUUAUAGACGUGAGAGACGGCACCCUGUCUGCAUCUUGUUAACUUCAAGUUAUACCUCUCCAUAAACUCUGUCUCUUUGGUUUUAACAUAUACUCAACUUUCCCCUGCAAAACAAACCUUACUUCCCUUGACCUAACUUUCAUAUUACAGUCCCAUUCAUUUCUCCUCUUCUCCACAAGACUUCUUAAUGGAAAUCUCCACAUUUGCUGCCCACAUAUCCUCAUCUCCCCGUCAUUGUCCAGUUCAUUGUGGCCUGUCUUCUACUUUCUCCACUUUAUUUAACUACAAAGCUACCAGUGACUUUCCAAAGACAAAAGCUUCAUUUUUUCAGCCUACUCAUGUGACAUUACUGAUUAUCCACCCACUUAGAAUGCUCUUCUCAGUUCUCCUGUGCCCUCUUGGUUUCUUCUUUCAUGUUCUUGCUCCAUCUUCUUCCAAGUCUGGCAUUUAUCUUUUCCCCAUCUACUCCCUAAAUUUAAGUGUUUUCUGAAGCCCUCUUAUUUCAUAUAUAUGUGUGUGUGUGUGUGUGUGUGUGUGUGUGUGUGUGUGUGUGUGUAGUUCCAGACAUUCUCUUCUUUAAUGAUUUCAACCAAAUGCUGAAAUUUCAGGUUUCACCUGUGUUUAAAUGACAGCCAGCUUAGCUUUAGUCUUUCUCAUUAGUUACAGACUCAAAUUUCAGGACUGCCCAUUUGACACCUCCACAAGAUUGUUCCUUAGGAACCUCAAAUUCUGUAAGACAACAUAAACUCUGAUCCUCUCCCAUUCUCAAAUCUGCCUCUCCAGUGUGCCCUUGCAUGCUCACAGCAUCAGUCUUCCAUGCUUCCCUCUUUGUUGCCUCUUCCUUCUAACUAAUCACAAGUUUUAUUGAGUUUUCUUCCUUUUUUUCUUUGAGACAGUCUUGCUCUGUCAUCCAGAUGGGGGUGGAGUGGCGCGAUCUCAGCUCACUGCAACCUCUGCCUCUCAGGUUCAAGCAAUCCUCCUGCCUUGGCCUCCCUAGUAGCUGGAAGUACAGGUGUGCACCACCACGCCCAACUAAUUUCUGUAUUUUUAGUAGAGAUGGGGUUUCAUCAGUCUCAAACUCCUGACCUCAGGUGAUCCACCUGCCUUAGCCUCCCAAAGUGCUGGGAUUACAAACGUGAGCCAUCACGCCUGGCCUAUUGAGUUUACUUCUGCAAUGUCUCUCAUAUAUGACUCUUCCUUUACAUUUCUGCUGCCCCAGGUGAGUUUUUCCUCACUUCUCCUUGGGAUGGCAUAGCCCUCCUAACUUCUGCUCUUGCCUUCAAUAUCUGCUCUUCAAACCCAUCCUUCAUGCUGCAGGCAAAAUAAUCAGUCUAAAUAUUUCUCCACCCCCCCCCAGCUUUAUUAAAAUAUAAUUGACAAGCAAAAAUUAUAUCUAUAUUUGCAGUGUACAAAGUGAUGUUUUGAUAAUGUAUGCAUUGUGCAGUGAUUAAAUCAAGCUAAUUACUAAAUGCUUCUGAUCCUACCAUUUCCCUCCCCAGUAGCUUCUUCUUUACCUAUAGAAUAAAGUUGAAAUGCAUAAUUUAGCAUGGCAUCUCUACCUCCCAGAUUAGGUCCAGCCUACCUUUUCAGUUUUGCCUCCCCUUAAUAAGCCACAGAGUUCAACCCAGUGAGUCUCAUCCCUGACUGUGUGUUAAGACUACUUGGAAAGCAAUAUCUAGGGGUGAGGCCUGAGGAUUAACAUUUUUAAAGCUUCCCCAAAGAUCCUGAUGCACAAGCAGGGUAGCAAACCCCUGGUCUAGCCACAACUGGCUACUUGUACUUCUUCAUCUCCAUGGUACUACAUUACUCUAAGCUCCACAUACUGGGAGCUGGUAGAGCAUAGCAUUCAUGGGGAUUGACUCUGGAACCAAAUCCCAGCUCCAUCACUUACUGGUUGUGUGACCUUGGAUUAAAUGCUGUUUCCUCCAAGAACUCUUUCCCUGUCUUCCCAAUCAGAAUUAAUUUGUUUGCUCCUUUGUAAUAUUUUCUGUCCUUGUUAUAGCACAGGGCUGGUUCCUGAUGAGCUCUCAAUGGAUUUUCAUGGAAUUAAAUUAUCAUGCCAUAUAUUUUAUUGUCAUUAUUUGCAUGCAUUUGUGCCCCUACACUAAAUUAAAAACUCUUUGAGGGCAAAGAUUUUAUAUCAUUCAUCUUUGUAUAUCCUAGAGUGCCCCAUUCGUAUUAGACACUCAGUAAGUUUUGAAUUCUAUAAACUAUUUUUUAAAUGAAUUUUAGAGAAAGAAAUACCAUUAGCAAGAUACUCUAUUUAGAGUUAUUUUCAAAUAUUGCCAAGUACAACAUUCAAUCCAGCUUGUUCACCACCAACCCCCCACCUCUCAGCACUAAGGUUGUAUGAUUCUCUAGGAUAUGGAUCCUCACUCUAGCGGGGAACUAGCAGAAUGAUGAAUUUCCGUGCCUACUGUCACAAACCCAUAUCUCAUUGUCAAGUCUGCCAACCUGGCAUAUUCACAUAAGGAGUCUUUACGUUAUGAAGAGGUGUAAUGUAUACAGUCAAUCCACAGAGGAUCAAUAAACACCACAGUUUUCCUUCACACACAUGAAUCAUAAGGGUAGCUGGAUUCAAAUGUUUACACAUCAACUCUAAUUUUAACCAUCUUCAUCCACAUCCCCCUUGACAAUUCCCUGUUCCCAAAAUAAAUUCGUGUAGUUUGGCCAUUUGGCUUAGAUUGACUGACUCAACUGUAAUUCUGGAGCCAUGAGUUAUUUUGCUUGUGCUCUUGCUUUAUUUGUGUAGUUAGCUGGUUAUUUGUUCAAGCAUUAUUUGACAUUUUCUUAGUAAAGGAGACCGGUGAGUAGCUUCCAGAAGCCCAGAAGCAGACAUAACCUCCAUUGGGACCUCCUGUGCACUUAUGCCCCGUAAUCCCCUAUUCCAGAUUGUUAUGACCCAAACUUUAAGGAGAACUGAAUGAAAAAGGACAGAAAGGUUAAAUGUAUCCUACUCAACAUAUUUAUGAUGUUUAUUUUUUUAUUUAUUAAUUUAUUUAUUUGAGUCAGAGUCUCCCUCUGUUGCCCAGGCUGGAGUGCAGUGGGGCAAUCUCGGCUCACUGCAGCCUCCACCUCCCAGGUUCAAGCGAUUCUCCUGCCUCAGCCUCCCGAGUAGCUGGGAUUACAGGCGCCCGCCACCAUGCCCGGCCAAUUUUUGUAUUUUUGGUAGAAACGGGGUUUCACCAUGUUGGCCAGGCUGCUCUCGAACUCCUGACCUCAAGUGAUUCGCCCGUGUCGGCCUCCCAAAGUGCUGAGAUUACAAGCUAUUUAUGAUGUUUAAUGUGUGCUGUUUGUCUCUCACCUCCAGAAUUAAGCUCCUCAGGACAGGGAUCCUGUUUUGUUCACUGAUGUUUGCCUGGUCACCUAGAACAGGUGCCUGGCACACAGUAGCUGUCAGUCAGUAUUUAAUUGAAUGAUUGAAUGUAUCCCCAUGUACUUCUUCGUCUAUGCCUUUCUCCUCAUGAGAAAAUGAGAAGAGGGUUGCGCUUGUUGACUGAGAUGCGAUGAGGGCUAGGUUUGUGGAGGCCCAGCCGAGUUCCUGGACAGAUCCCCAACCCAAAGCUUUUGGGUUGCCGGACAACCGCGUCCUGAAAUCCCACCUUCUGGGCGGGCCCGGGCCGAGGCGCCGUCUCUGAUUGGUCAGCUGGAGGUGAUGGGCAUGAGCGACAGCGAAGGAGCAGCUACACACUAAACUUCCGGGC